UUUAAUAAUUUCUUACUUCUCCACUAUAGAUUAAUAUUCACAGAGAAGUUCACCUGAGUAUCAGGGACUUGAGAUAUUUUGAUCAAGCCAGUCUGUAUAACAUAAUGCCUUUCCCUGUUGCCACAGAGAUUAGAAUCUGCUCCCAGAAGAAGAAGGGGCAACAGGCAAGCAAAGAUAAUUGAAAUCACUGUGCAUGCCCAACCUGACGAAAGUCAUAGACUUUUUUGGCUACAGAGCAAGAUACUAUGGAUGUAACACUGAGCAAAAGUAGACAUGCUCCUUCCAGUAUCACCAUAAGGUCUACACUUAAGGUAGAAGCUUUCCAGUGGACUUUGCAAAGCAAGGUGCUGUGAAAUUAACUAUCUACAGACAGGGCCAUGUGUCAGGCCAGCAAGAGUGACAUGUAGGAUCUGAAGGCCUCAGUCCUAGACUGUAAGAAACUGAAAUCUGCGAUAAACAACAUGAAUUUGAAAGAAACCCCUGAACUCCAGAAUACACAGCUGACACCUUGAUUGAAGCUUUAUGAGAUACUAAGCAGCGGACUCAACUGAGUUGUAUACAGAUAUCUGACCCAUAGACACUCUGAAAUAAUAAUUGGUGUUGUUUUAAGCUGCUAAACUUGUGGUAAUUCCCACAUAGCAACAUAGCAAUAGAAAUUAAAUACACAGAUAAAAUAUUUUUUCUUAUAAUUCUGUUUAAAAAUUAAUUUUGGAGAUUAUUUUGUAUUUUCUGAAAUAUUUUGUAUAAGAUUAUAUUAUUUAUUGUUUAAAUAUUUUAAAUAAAUAACCAGUGAAGGCUCUGGGCCUAGAUUGUUCUUUGUUGAAAGGUUUUCUGCUACAAAUACAAUUAAAAUCUGGAACAAUCAGCAUUUUAAUUAAUAGUGUUGGUAAUUUGUGUUCUUAUUGUUUUUUCUUUCAUUGCAAUAGCUAGAUAAUGACCAAUUUGGCUGAUAUGUUUAAAAGAAUUAGCUUUUGGUUUUAUUAAAUUUUUCCCCAUCAUUGUCACUUUUCUGUCAUCAAUCUAAGCUCUUUUUUUAUUAUCUUACUUUUACUCACUUUGGGCUUAAUUACUACUUUUUUUCCUCGCUUCUUUAAAUGGAAGAUUAGACCAAAUAAUUAAGACCUUUCUUCUCUUUACCAUAAACAUCAAAAGCUGGGAACUUCCAACAUAGUAUUGUGUUAGCCACAGAACAGUUUUUAAGAUGUUUCAUUUUGUAUUAUUUCAUAUUUUUACAUUUCCCUUUGAUUUUUUUUCUUGGAUCACAAGUUAUUAACGAGUGCAUUUUUAAAUUUUAAAUAUUUUGGGAUAACCUGGUUAUAACCAUACAUUCAACUUAGUUAUUGGGGAUAAACUAGUUAUGUGUCUAUUUUUGAUUACUAAUUUAAUCCCAUUAUGGCCAGUUAAUUUCAGUUUUCUGCUAUUUGUUUUAUGACCCAGCAUAUGAUAUAUAUUUUUAAGUAUUUUACAUAAACUUAAAAAUUGUGCAUACUCUACUGUUGCAAGAUAGAGUAUAAUAUAAAUUAAGUAAAGUAAUUGGUGUUAUUCAAAUUUUCUAUGUAUUUAUUAGUUUUUAAUCUACUUACUCUAUCAAUAACUGAGAAAAAAGAGGCAAAUUUUUCAAAUGUAAUUGUGAAAUAUGCCCUUUUCCCUUUCUGAUUCUAACAGUUUUUUUACUUUUAAAAGUAUUGUUGUCAGUGCAUACUCAUUUAGGAUGUGUUUAUGUCUCUUGAUAAAUUAACUUUCUUAUAAUUACAUGUCCUUCUUUAUCCAUGUUAUUAUCUUUAAGCUUAUCAUUAUCUGAUAUUGGUAUUGCUUCUUACAUUCUUGAUUAUUAGACUUUGCAUGAUAUAUUGACUACACCCAUCUUUUCUUUUAACACAACUGUACCUCAAUAUUUAAAGUAAUUUUCAUAUAGAUAGUAUAUAAUUGCCUCUUGCUUUUUUAUAUAGACUGACAAUUGAAGUGUUUGUAUCAUUUAUGUUUCACAAAAUUAUCAAUAUAUUUGGGCUUAUAUAUACAAUUUUAUUUGUAUUCUGUUUGUCCUUUUUCUUUGUCCUUUUUUUCUUUUAAAGUAAUUCUUUUUCUACUCAAUUAUAUGUCUGCUAUUGACUUAGCCAUAUUAUUUUGUUUUAUUUUUAGGAUCACUGCUAUAGAAUUUU
ensembl:lncRNA